AUAUACAACAUGCCAAUAGCCUGUAAGUUGUAUAAUCUCUGUCCAUUUAUUACUUCAUUUGUUUACUUUUUGGCAAAAUAUUCCCUCAACUUAAAUUCUGCGGAACCUAUAAUGUUAUUCAUCUUUUCUUGAGUAGAUAAAUUAACUGAUAUGGAAGUAAUUCUGUUCUUUCUUAUUUACCUUUCAAGGGUUUGUGUAUUUGGACCCAUUUCAUCUGUGGUAGGUGGGGUAGAAUUUUUCAUCAACAAUGGAAAAGUUGGUGAAUUUCGAAUUUGGGAAAUUGCGGUAGUUAGAUGGAAAUUGAAAUAGUAAAAUAUAAAAUUGUUGAAUUUGAAAAUGAAUUUAGGUUUGUGAACAUGUAGGUGACUAACUUGGCAUAUGCCUUCUUAACGGAGUUGUAAUCUGAAAUGAUAUUAUUGCAAAUUGAGAUAGUCAUAAAGUUGUUUGCUUCGAUCAUUUUUAGUAUGUGUCGGUUAUCACGCCUUUUUAUGCUGAAUGUUAACUGGUAAGUGUUCAUUGCUGAACUGGGGUUUUG
rnacentral:misc_RNA from 1 species